rfam:Brachypodium distachyon strain Bd21 chromosome 3, whole genome shotgun sequence.
UUAGUACUCCCUCCGACCGGAAUUACUUGUCGAAAUAUUACAUGUAUCUAGACGCUUUUUAAACAUAGAUACAUCCAAAUUUAGGCAAAUUUGAGACAAGUAAUAUGGGUCGGAGGGAGUAGUAU